UACGUAGGGGGCAAGCGUUGUCCGGAUUUACUGGGCGUAAAAGGUUCGUAGGUGGCUCGCCCAGUCGGGCGUGAAAUCUCCUGGCUCAACUAGGAGAGGUCGUCCGAUACUAGCGGGCUCGAGGCCGGUAGAGGGAAGCGGAAUUCCGGGUGUAGUGGUGGAAUACGUAGAUAUCCGGAGGAACACCAGUGGCGAAGGCGGCUUCCUGGACCGGUUCUGACACUGAGGAACGAAAGCGUGGGGAG
rnacentral:rRNA from 1 species